ACAAAAACAAAACGGGUAUAGCUCAUUUUUCAUAAGGAAGAAUAAUAUACAGAGUAUCGCAGCAAAAGGCGAAUCGAUUAUAUGUAUGAAGACAUAUAACCGCGAGUGAAUUGCUUAAAUUCAAAAGAAAAACAAAGUAUCUCAAUUAUCAAGACUCUAUCAAUCAUAGAGGCAAAACAAUAAUAUAAUACAUCAUAUGAAACGUUUCCCCCACCAGCACCAGACCAAUCUCGCUCCUCGCUUAGCCUGCACAUUUAGAAAUAUAUGCAGGGCGUGAGUACAUAAUAUUCAGUGGGCAAACGCCGAAAAACAAGAAAGGCGCUCUUAGAGCUAUAGGUUUGAAACUUGCCACAUCUCAGCAAUACACAGGAAUAAAUUUAGCGUAAAUGAACCUUCUAAGCAGUUUUAAUAAACAUCAUAAAGAAAUGAACGAAUGACAGCCGUCAAAGAUCUCAACAUGCAUGCACCACAUCUACAACUCAUCAUCAUCAAAGGUACUGAGAAGUAGGCCUCCUUCUCAAGCACCGUAACCGGCCGACCCGAAGACGGCUCACAGUCACCUCUGUGCACAAAAUCCCGCUUGUGGCAGGACCGAAUUCGUCUCAUCUCAUCAGUAGAGGGUAACAUACAAGUUCAACAUCAAAAAUUGGCAAGUCAAACAGUUCUCAAACAUCAUUUAUCUCAACAUUUGGUAAACUCAUAAAUAUCAUCAUCGAAUCAUUUUUAGAAAGCUCAUAUAAUAUAUGUAUACUCAAAAUAUUGCCCACCUGAAGUCCU
rnacentral:lncRNA from 1 species